rnacentral:rRNA from 1 species
GAUCAAGCGUCUGGAAGGGCAUCUGGUGGAUGCCUUGGCGCAUGCAGGCGAUGAAGGACGUGGUACGCUGCGAAAAGCUUCGGGGAGUUGCGAACAAACUUUGAUCCGAAGAUAUCCGAAUGGGGCAACCCAACCGUAAGGUUAUCCCUCACUGAAUUCAUAGGUGAGGGAGGCAAACCCGGGGAAUUGAAAUAUCUCAGUACCCGGAGGAAAGGACAUCAACCGAGACUCCGCUAGUAGUGACGAGCGAACGCGGACCAGGCCAGUGGCCUGACUUGAGCAACCGAAAUCGUCUGGAAAGGCGACCCAUAGAGGGUGAUAGGCCCGUACGGGUAAGCAAAGGUCAGGUCCUCGAGUAGGGCGGGGCACGUGAAACCCUGUCUGAACGUGGGGGGACCACCCUCCAAGCCUAAGUACUCGCAUGCGACCGAUAGUGAACCAGUACCGUGAGGGAAAGGUGAAAAGCACCCCGAUAAGGGGAGUGAAACAGUUCCUGAAACCGGAUGCCUACAAUCAGUCGGAGCCCCCUUGUGGGGUGACGGCGUACCUUUUGUAUAAUGGGUCAGCGACUUAGUAUACCUAGCAAGCUUAAGCCGGUAGGUGGAGGCGUAGCGAAAGCGAGUCUGAAUAGGGCGAUUGAGUUAGUUGUAUUAGACCCGAAGCCGAGUGAUCUAGCCAUGGGCAGGUUGCAGGUGCGGUAACACGCACUGAAGGACCGAACCCACUUCUGUUGAAAAAGAACGGGAUGACCUGUGGCUAGGGGUGAAAGGCCAAUCAAACUCGGCAAUAGCUGGUUCUCCGCGAAAGCUAUUUAGGUAGCGCGUCGUGUGGUGACCAACGGGGGUAGAGCACUGGAUGGGCUAGGGGGGCGCGAGCCUUACCAAACCUAACCAAACUCCGAAUACCGUUGAGUAAAGCACGGCAGACAGUCCUUGGGUGAUAAGGUCCAAGGACAAGAGGGAAACAGCCCAGACCGCCAGCUAAGGUCCCAAAGUUAUGGCUAAGUGGGAAAGGAUGUGGGAAGACCAAGACAAUCAGGAGGUUGGCUUAGAAGCAGCCAUCCUUUAAAGAAAGCGUAAUAGCUCACUGAUCUAAAUAAGUCGUCCUGCGCCGAAGAUGUACCGGGGCUCAAGCCAUACACCGAAGCUGCGGAUCUCCUUUUGGAGAUGGUAGCGGAGCGUUCUGUAAGUCUGCGAAGGGUAACCGUGAGGUUGCCUGGAGAUAUCAGAAGUGAGAAUGCUGACAUGAGUAGCGAUAAGGCAUGUGAGAAACAUGCCCGCCGAAAGUCCAAGGGUUCCUGCGCCAGGCUAUUCCGCGCAGGGUUAGUCGGCCCCUAAGGCGAGGCUGAAAAGCGUAGUCGAUGGGAAUCAGGUUAAUAUUCCUGAACUUGGUGGUAGUGACGGCGUCUAGCUGUAGUUCAUCCUUAUCGGAUUGGAUGGGCUGCGAAGGACGUCCAGGAAAUAGCUCCACCGUAUAAACCGUACCCUAAACCGACACAGGUGGACUGGUAGAGUAUACCCAGGNGUUUGAGAGAAUGAUGUUGAAGGAACUCGGCAAAUUGCCCCCGUAACUUCGGGAGAAGGGGGCCCUAUGCGCGGGCAACCGCGUGUGGGGGGCACAGACCAGGGGGUGGCGACUGUUUACUAAAAACAUAGGACUCUGCGAAGUCUCAAGACGACGUAUAGGGUCUGACGCCUGCCCGGUGCUGGAAGGUUAAAAGGAGAGGUGAGAGCCUUGAAUUGAAGCCCCAGUAAACGGCGGCCGUAACUAUAACGGUCCUAAGGUAGCGAAAUUCCUUGUCGGGUAAGUUCCGACCUGCACGAAUGGCGUAACGACUUCCCCACUGUCUCCAACAUCAACUCAGCGAAAUUGAAUUCCCCGUGAAGAUGCGGGGGUCCUGCGGUCAGACGGAAAGACCCCGUGAACCUUUACUAUAGCUUUACAGUGGCGCCAGAGGUGACAUGUGUAGGAUAGGUGGGAGGCUUUGAAGCGAUAGCGCCAGCUUUCGUGGAGCCAUCCUUGAAAUACCACCCUUGUUGCUUCUGUCGUCUAACCAUGGCCCGUGAACCCGGGUCUGGGACCCUGUAUGGUGGGUAGUUUGACUGGGGCGGUCGCCUCCCAAAGAGUAACGGAGGCGCGCGAUGGUAGGCUCAGGCCGGUCGGAAAUCGGUCUUCGAGUGCAAUGGCAUAAGCCUGCCUGACUGUGAGACUCACAAGUCGAACAGAGACGAAAGUCGGUCAUAGUGAUCCGGUGGUCCCGCGUGGAAGGGCCAUCGCUCAACGGAUAAAAGGUACUCCGGGGAUAACAGGCUGAUACCGCCCAAGAGUCCACAUCGACGGCGGUGUUUGGCACCUCGAUGUCGGCUCAUCUCAUCCUGGGGCUGGAGCAGGUCCCAAGGGUACGGCUGUUCGCCGUUUAAAGAGGUACGUGAGCUGGGUUUAGAACGUCGUGAGACAGUUCGGUCCCUAUCUGCCGUAGGUGUUGAUACUUGAGAGGAUCUGUCCCUAGUACGAGAGGACCGGGAUGGACGUACCUCUGGUGGAUCGGUUGUCACGCCAGUGGCACAGCCGAGUAGCUAUGUAUGGACCGGAUAACCGCUGAAAGCAUCUAAGCGGGAAGCCGUCCUCAAAACCAGGUAUCGUUGAGAGUCGUGGAAGACCACCACGUUGAUAGGCAGCGUGUGGAAGCGUGGCAACACGUGAAGCUAAGCUGUACUAAUCGCUCGAGGGCUUGAUCUC